UCCUGUGAUGGCAUGAAAUCUUUGAGACCUGAUUUUCUAAUUUGAUGAAACCUACAAGCAGUUUUUCUGAGGAU